rnacentral:rRNA from 1 species
UACCGCUGUGGAGACGGUGGCCGCCAGGGCCGCGAGGACAGCGGUUACGGGGUGGUCGGGACGACGGACGGCUACGAUGACGGAAACGCAGCGGACGUAGAGGGGAGAGGAGCAGCCAAGAAGUUUGCUAGUUGUAGGUGACCGUGGGUGAAGCUGUGUAGUUAGUCGUACAAGCCAGAAGCGCCAGUACAGCUGCGGCUCCGACACGUCACGGGGUUGUUGGGGCUCACCCACUACCGCCUAGUGCGCCAGCAGGUAACCAAGUUGUGGUGACAGCGCGGACCAGAGGAACUACAGCACUACGUUGUGCUCCUGUGCCAUGAGUGGAACACCUACCACUAGCUGCCGUGGAAGGUCCUGUUGGUCGAGUGGGCACGCUAAAUGUAGCUGUAGCACAUGGUAUGGGACGCACUAGAGCCGGUCGGCCACUCACUCUGCGUUGUCCAGAAGAUGGAAGACGCACCUGAACCCGUGGUCAUGGUACCGCGCUAGGAGUAUAGUGCGGCGCGUGCGGAGAAGACCGUAAGGGGGUUUGAACGAGGAAGGGCAAAGAGUUCCUCGUAGCACGCCUAGUUUGACGCGUAGAAGUCUCACACGUGCGCGAGCAGCGGUCCGCGCAGCGGCGGCGGGGAAGAGGUGGCGAACAGUGCGGACUAUGGUUGCUGUUGCCACCACCAGCGCCCGCAGUAGCUCCUACACCGUGGCUGUGACCACUACCUAGCCCGUCACCACCGAGAGGGGUUGUUGGCGGUGGCGCGUAGGGUCCGAAGGUACGGGGACGGGGAUCGUGGUUGAGGACCUGUCCCGAGUAAUUGAGCCCUGCCAAGCGAUGUCCACAGCCCGCCGGCGGAGAAGCAACGGGGCGGUUAGACGGCGUAUUCCGGGUAAAUGGUACAGGAAGAGUGCAAGACGGACCGUCUGUUCUUGGUUGGGCAGAACGGCGGCAGAAGAUGAUAAAAGUCAGACCGCACCUGAGGACGCUGGCCGCCUGACCAGUGACCCCGAACGGCCGCUCACCCCACCGCUCGCGGGCCUUUCUCGACCCUCCGAUCUCCGACCAGUACCGAGGACCCGAGCAGAGCAGCGCCGGCCCGUCCGCUGCGGCCGCGGCGCGCGUCUCUAGGCCUCCGUAACUACCAAUUCCCCUAGGGCAGUUUUGACCAGUUCCCCCUUUGGUAACUACGUAGAAUGUUUUCUUUCUCUCUUCAUCUUGUUCGGCAGGCCGUGUGGUAUCGUACAGGACAAGUAAAAAACAGUGCAAUGCUAUAAAGAGGGCAAAGGGGAAAACGGGAGCGUGAGCGAGAGAGGGGCUGGUGUGCGAGAGAGGGCCGGUUGUGAGAGAGGGGCUGGUGAGCGAGGAGGGGCGGGUCUAGGGAACGCGGCGGCCGAUCAGCGGCGGGAGAGGGAGAGCAGCCACAGAAGGAGUGGCGUCGGAACGAGGAGUGGUGGGGAUUUUGAUCGUUGGGCAGAGGGGGAGCAGCCAGUUUCCACUUUAAAAAUGGUCGGCCCCACGAGCUAGACACCCGCCGCCACGAGCUAGGCACAACCUCGUCGCCCUCCUCCUCCCGUCACGACCUAACCUCGUCGCAGGAGAAGCGAGAGCAGUACAGCAACGGCGGCGGCUCCUUCUACCUCUCGGACAGCCUCCCUCCUCGCGGUACCGGUCAAGACUGGAGGAGGCAGGUCUAGGUCGAGGUCGUUAGUAGGGGAGAACGACGAACGAGAGAGUUAAAGUUCUGACUUCUUCUCUUGUACCCCUCGUCGUCGACGGGAGACGAGACGAGAAUACGCUUACGAGAUGACGUCCUGGCACCGUCGCUACGAGCGGCUUCGCCUGCUGUUGGUGAGGGCACGUUUGUUUCACGUAAAAGCGACGUUGGAUUAGACACCUCAUAGUUCGAUUAACCUUCUUUCGGUUAACGAACGAGACAUCCUUGAAAAUACACGACCUCAUAUCCUAAACGACAAAUCGUUCCGAAACUCAUUAAGAUGAGUGAAGAGAAGAGAAGUCAUUUAAUUUAAAUCCUCAUCCUCAUCAAGAAUCUUGAUGAUACGUGGAAUUUUGAUGAGGACAAUUAAUUGACUUUGAUGAGACGUGGAAUCUUGAUGAGGACAAUUAAUUGACUUUUUUGAAAAAAUUCAAUUAAUUGAAUUAAAGAAAGACAAUUCUCAUCCUCAUCAAGAACCUCAUCCUUCUCCUCGUCACGCUUCUUAAGAGAAGAGAAGAGAAUGAGAAGAGAAGAGAUGAGAGCGAGAGAAGAGAAGCGAAGAGAAGAGAAGCGAAGAGAAGAGAAGAGAAAGAGAAGAGAAAAGUCAUCAGACGAGGUUUUAAGACGUUACUCCGGGCACAAAGGUGACGAUAAAUAAAAGACUUAGUGUAAAAGUCAAAACGUUUAAGACGUUAAAACGUGUACUUCGAAGUCUAAAAUCGUGUACUUCGAAGACGAUGACAAUUAGAACAGUACUUAGAAGACAACUGAACCAUGUAAUCGAAUUUUACUUAGAAAAGGAAAUUCAUUUUGAUUUACUUUGAAAAAAAACAAUUAAAUUGUCAACGUCUGAACGUCAUCAUAUCGUGAACGUCAUCACAUCCUGUAGUCAUCAAAUCACAUCCUGUCGUUAUCAAACCACAUUCAAAGUCAAGUAAUUGACUUAAAAAAGUCAAUGAAUUGACUUUGAAAAAGUCAAUGUCGUCCUGAAGAGAAGAGAGAAGAAGAGAGAAGAGAAAGAGAAGAACGUAGACAUCAAAUCACAUGAAGGGAACACGGGAGGUAUGAGGAGAGGAGAGGGUGAGUAAAGGAGAGGAUGAUGAAACGAACAAGAGAAGAGAUUUAAUAGAAGAGUAGAGAUUUAAGUGAGUAGAACAGAGGAUGAUGAGAGAAGAGAAGAGAAAGUAAAUUUACCUCAUGAGGUGUGUUCGUUUACUUAAUGUGUAUGUUCAGAGUGUUUUACCUCUUUUUUAUAUACCUCAUUUUUACUAGUGUUUUACCUCAAUGUGUAUGUUCGGAGUGUUUUACCUCAUAAUGUGUAUACCUCAUUAAAGUGUACCCUACGUGAGGCGUGUUCAGAGUAGAGUUCCUUGAUGUGUAUGAGGUGUAGACUUGUUCGGAGUACAGUUCGUAGCCUUGUUCGGAGUAGAGUUCAUAGACUUGUUCGAGUAGAGUUCGUAGACUUGUUCGGAGUACAGUUCUUAGCCUUGUUCGGAGUAGAGUUCGUAGACUUGUUCGGAGUACAGUUCGUAACCUUGUUCGGAGUAGAGUUCGUAGACUUGUUCGGAGUACAGUUCGUAACCUUGUUCGGAGUAGAGUUCGUAGGCUUGUUCGGAGUAGAGUUCGUAGGCUUGUUCGGAGUAGUGACUUGGGAGGGGUAAUGGAGAUUCAACAUAUCCCGUAAGCACAUUUGGAGAAAGCGCGUACAAUCAGAACCUCCAUCGACGGGUUCUGGGAGUUCGGAAAGGAACAAUUGUACACCAUAAAAUAUAGGUAAAGGGGGGCGUACUAAGUACUAGAGUUAGUACGUGUAAAAAUCUCAAUCCUUUUAAGACAACUCGAACAUUUGUAGUAUCGGAAGUUUAAGGAGGUUUUGUGGACGUUAUUCCAGAACAUCACAAAAUCCUGAGUCUGUUAGACAGUCGUUAACGUCGCUCAACUUUUUGGGUUCCAGUUCGUGUAAGUUUAGUCCUGACAACCGUCCGACAACAUGAUUAGACUACAGUUCAGGUCAAAAACGCUGUCGACGAUCUUUAAGGACCAGUAGACCGUUCUAUACCCCGAAUCGUAAUAGGACGACUUACAUCUACCAGACAGGUCGUAGUGAAAGGCCGGUUUGACGAACAUAGCGACCGUUCUGAAAGAGAUAGUCCUUGAGGGAGUAGUGAAAAGACAGCUGGAAAUAACUGAAACAGAGAUAACAUGGAAACCCGGACAACAGCGAAGAGGAGAUUCGUCCUUGAAGAAAGUGUUUACCGGUCUAUGGCUAAAAGGGUCUCUUCCAGUGCAAAGGAAGCGACAGGGUGGAACCGGAUCGUUGCCGGCAAUUUUUGUAGUGGAACGGUUAUGUCAACGGCACAUAUCCGGAGCAUCCGAGAAGGAGGGGUAGGUCGUCUAUUAUACAAGAUAAGAAGAAACAGUACAAUUUGGUGAAGAGCAGUUAUACCUGUUGCAAUACGUAUCAGAACUUGAAUCCGGAGCGUCAACGACAACAACGGAGUAGUUCGUAGCUGUUUGUUUUUAAGUAGGAUAGGUAGAAUAAGAAAAGGAAAUUUCGGCCGAAGUGUGUCAAACAUACGGAGGAUUAGUUUAAAUCGUACUUGAAAGAUACUUCACAUCAUCCCGAUGUAGGAUCAACGGUCCGAUCACUAGAUUAUCAUCUGGAGGACAAAUUACCCUAACAAUCCUAAAAAAGAUCCAAUUACAGGAAUCCGAAAGAAGGUCUUAAAGGAAAAGAGACUAGCCGUUGUAGAUGGAGAACUGGAACAACUUAAACGUUGUAACGAAAGGAGGUUUAAGAAACAUAUAAGGUUUGUGGGUGAGGUUUUUUUAAACGUUAUAGAACGCAUAGUCAAAAGAAUUUUCACGGAGGAGAUGAGUAUGUGUCACAUACGUUACGAUGUAUUCGUCGUUUAAAAACGACCAGUAACUCCCAAAAUAAAAAAGAUGGUUGAACGGGUCGUGGACGUGGUUCUGUAUGUUGUUUCUUUACUUAUUUACUUUACUAGUUCACUACUUCACUACCUUACUAGUUCACUACUUUACUAGUUCACAUUGACAUGGACCUAAAACUUGUUAAAGUAGAGGAAGGUAAGGGAGAGGCCGUAGAGGAAGGUAUAGUAGAGGAUGUACAGGAAGGUAAAGUAAAAGACGUAAAAGUAGGUAAAGUAGGUGUAGAAGACGUCCACCUCGCUUGAACUCCAGACCCUCUAGGUAAAAGAGGACUUCUAUACUUAUAUAUUAAACCAGCUUUUCCCUGCUGUACGACUCUAAAAGCAACCACCAGAAGACUAACUAAACCUUCCUUCUUAACAACCAUACUUAAAGUAUCUGCUCUUAUCUUGAGGGAAAAACGGGCAGGUUUAACAACCCUCUACGGACUUUGUGAAGUCUUUAAACCGCAAACAAAAUGUCCUGUGAAGAAAGGACAUAUACCCUGCUAACGAACUUCCUAAACCACAACCACAGUAUAGGAUGUGCAAAACUGUCCACUUGUCUACCUGUCACCGACGAGGAACGACUAGUUAAGUUUUAACGAGACCGAUAGUUAAGUUCGAACGACACUGACCACUCUUCUGCAGGACCAGUUAGUGGUGUAGACUAGUUAAAGUCAGACACCGCUCUUCUUCACCAUGUUGAGGCCGCUAGUUAAAGAAACCGCUAAUUGUUAAAACUAGUUAAGUUUGUCGUUGUGUCCGUCGCGAUCACGACGACAACCAGUCACGCCCCUCCUCGUGCCCGCCUCCAGUUAACCGGCCUAGGCCUCGAGGUCACGGACUUAGCUCCUCGACCUUCCGAGUCCGUCCUCCUCCUCCUCGUGCCCGCCGCGACGACGACCAGCCACGCCCCUCCUCGUACCCGCCGCGCUUCCGGUCCUCAGCGCCCGCCGACCUCCGACACCGCCUGCCGCUCCCUCGACGCAUGCUCAAACCCGAGAACUAACCUCGCCUCCUUCCGCGGGCUACUCCCUCGACGCUGGCCGCGCCUGCCUGCGGCCUCGACGUCGUCACCCUACCUCGGACCGCUUCCCCUCCUCGCUACCUCAUUCUGCUUCUAGGGGUCGCUGUUCUUAAAGUUUAACUCCCAUCAAACCAUGAAAUAGGACAAAAGUGGACCAGCCUUUUCAAGGGGUUGCUGUUGAUAAAGUCUUGUCUCCCUCAUAUACCAUAUUUAUAUUAAGUAAGGUGAGUUUAAGGAAUCAGCAAAUGUAUAUGAGGGAGGCAGGGUAUUACAUUCUGCGAAAAACUGUGAUGUGAUCACACCUUUUUGCAAAAUGUAAUACCCUGUCUCCAUCAUCAUCAAUUAACAUAAGAGCCGUGUUGUUUAAUACCAUUUACCUAUGUGUAAAAAAAAAUCUAAGAGUAAACUAUACCACUGGUGUUUUCCUAGCGUAUCUUCGAUGUGUUCUUUAGUCAAAAAAAAAGAAUAAUAAUGCCUUGGUAUGCUAAACCUCCGAAUUUCGAAUAAUAUUAAUGAUUUUUCUUAACCUCCGAAUUUCGAAGAAUAUUAGGAAACCGACUAAAAAAUUCUGUUACAAUGGCUGACAGUUCAGUUGUUAUUGUUACAUGCCACGUCGGUUCGCCGACGACCCUCUCCUUGUUUACACUCCAUUAGUUAGAUGAUUAACACAACUACGCAUGGACUUGACCACUUGUUUACAUUGGAUGAUGAGAUAAAACAUUAAGUACAAACCAUAUACUACGUCCAAUGGUAUAGAAAACAGAUAUACAAUUAUUUCGGAACGUAUUUAUAGAUAGUUCGUUAAUGACUUUUACACCUCAUUCUUCCUUUGUCGUAUGGACCACGUUCCAUGGGUUAACACGGAAACUAAGGUUGGCUCCUUGAAGCUAGCCGCUCACUAACGGACGAAAGUAGACGGGAUUAAUAGAAACUAUCAGGUUUCAGUGGUUCUACACGUUGGUACAAUAGUAGUUCUUCUUA